GGAGGGGUGGCCGAGUGGUUUAAGGCGGUGGUCUUGAAAACCACUAACCGAUGAGGUUCGUGGGUUCGAAUCCCACCCCCUCCG
rnacentral:tRNA from 2 species